AGUGAACGCUGGCGGCAGGCCUAACACAUGCAAGUCGAGCGGCAGCGCGGGGGCAACCCUGGCGGCGAGCGGCGGACGGGUGAGGAAUUCGUCGGAAUCUGCCUUUUUGUGGGGGAUAACGUAGGGAAACUUACGCUAAUACCGCAUACGUCCUACGGGAGAAAGUGGGGGACCGCAAGGCCUCACGCAGAAAGAUGAGCCGACGACCGAUUAGCUAGUUGGUGGGGUAAAGGCCCACCAAGGCGACGAUCGGUAGCUGGUCUGAGAGGAUGAUCAGCCACACUGGGACUGAGACACGGCCCAGACUCCUACGGGAGGCAGCAGUGGGGAAUAUUUGACAAUGGGCGCAAGCCUGAUCCAGCCAUGCCGCGUGUGUGAAGAAGGCCUUCGGGUUGUAAAGCACUUUUGUCCGGAAAGAAAUCCCUGGAGCUAAUACCUUCGGGGGAUGACGGUACCGGAAGAAUAAGCACCGGCUAACUUCGUG
rnacentral:rRNA from 1 species